GGGGUUGUGGCUCAGUGGCAGAGCACCUGCUUCGUACGUAGAAGGACCUGGGUUCAAUCUCCAGCAUCUCCA